rnacentral:lncRNA from 1 species
UGUAGAUGUAGAUAUGAGUCACUAACUUAGACAUGAUUGCUCAAGUAGAGAAUUUCUUCAAGAGUCAGUGACUAAACAGAGUUUAGACAAAGAAGAGUAAAAAGCUGAAGUCUUAAUCUUAAGGCAUUCCUAUAUUUAAGAAGCCAGAGAAAGAAUCAAGAUCAAGGAAUAUCAGCAAGUCAUGGGAAAAUGAACCUGAGGAACAGAACAGGUGGAAAAGCUGCAAGAAAGGAUAAAAAAUAAGGAGGAUUCAAUGCUGAGAAAGGUGAAAGAAAGAGUGGAGAGCAAGACGGAUGAGUUCCAAAAGGAUUCUGAAUCGGCUCACCACUGUCCGACAUAGAAGAGUGGGUGUACACACAGAGAAUAUUCUACUAGACAGAACAAUGAUCAGAAUACUAGAGAUUACUCUAAAAGGUACUUAAACUUAGGAGUAAAUUUAACCAAGGAGGUGAAAGAACUAUACAUUGAAAACUAUAAGAUACUGUUGCAAGAAAUUG